GACGAACGCUGGCGGCGCGCCUAACACAUGCAAGUCGAACGAGCGAGAGAGAGCUUGCUUUCUCGAGCGAGUGGCGAACGGGUGAGUAACGCGUGAGGAACCUGCCUCAAAGAGGGGGACAACAGUUGGAAACGACUGCUAAUACCGCAUAAGCCCACGGCUCGGCAUCGAGCAGGGGGAAAAGGAGCAAUCCGCUUUGAGAUGGCCUCGCGUCCGAUUAGCUAGUUGGUGGGGUAACGGCCCACCAAGGCGACGAUCGGUAGCCGGACUGAGAGGUUGAACGGCAAGGGGGGGAGGGAGCCACGGCCCAGACGCAAAGGGGGGGAAGAGGGGGGGAAUAUUGAAAAGGGGGGAAAACCGGAGGGCAGCGGCGGGGGGGGAAGAAAGAGGUUGGGGGGAUGGAAAACUCGUGUUGUGGGGAAAGAAAAGGAGGGAACCAAAAAAGAAAGUAAGGACAAACUAGGG
rnacentral:rRNA from 1 species